UACGAAGGGGGCUAGCGUUGCUCGGAAUCACUGGGCGUAAAGCGCACGUAGGCGGAUUGCUAAGUCAGGGGUGAAAUCCUGGAGCUCAACUCCAGAACUGCCUUUGAUACUGGCGACCUUGAGUCCGGGAGAGGUGAGUGGAACUGCGAGUGUAGAGGUGAAAUUCGUAGAUAUUCGCAAGAACACCAGUGGCGAGGGCGGCUCACUGGCCCGGUACUGACGCUGAGGUGCGAAAGCGUGGGGAGCAAACAGG
rnacentral:rRNA from 1 species